rnacentral:sRNA from 2 species
CUUUAAAAAUCUGGAUCAAGCUGAAAAUUGAAACGACACACAGUCAAUGUGUGUUCGAGUCUCUCAAAUUUUCGCGACACGAUGAUGUUUUACGAAACAUCUUCGG